UCGAGCGAAUGGAUUAAGAGCUUGCUCUUAUGAAGUUAGCGGCGGACGGGUGAGUAACACGUGGGUAACCUGCCCAUAAGACUGGGAUAACUCCGGGAAACCGGGGCUAAUACCGGAUAACAUUUUGAACCGCAUGGUUCGAAAUUGAAAGGCGGCUUCGGCUGUCACUUAUGGAUGGACCCGCGUCGCAUUAGCUAGUUGGUGAGGUAACGGCUCACCAAGGCAACGAUGCGUAGCCGACCUGAGAGGGUGAUCGGCCACACUGGGACUGAGACACGGCCCAGACUCCUACGGGAGGCAGCAGUAGGGAAUCUUCCGCAAUGGACGAAAGUCUGACGGAGCAACGCCGCGUGAGUGAUGAAGGCUUUCGGGUCGUAAAACUCUGUUGUUAGGGAAGAACAAGUGCUAGUUGAAUAAGCUGGCACCUUGACGGUACCUAACCAGAAAGCCACGGCUAACUACGUGCCAGCAGCCGCGGUAAUACGUAGGUGGCAAGCGUUAUCCGGAAUUAUUGGGCGUAAAGCGCGCGCAGGUGGUUUCUUAAGUCUGAUGUGAAAGCCCACGGCUCAACCGUGGAGGGUCAUUGGAAACUGGGAGACUUGAGUGCAGAAGAGGAAAGUGGAAUUCCAUGUGUAGCGGUGAAAUGCGUAGAGAUAUGGAGGAACACCAGUGGCGAAGGCGACUUUCUGGUCUGUAACUGACACUGAGGCGCGA
rnacentral:rRNA from 1 species